UGGCUCAGAUUGAACGCUGGCGGCAUGCCUUACACAUGCAAGUCGAACGGCAGCGGACCUUCGGGUGCCGGCGAGUGGCGAACGGGUGAGUAAUAUAUCGGAACGUACCUUCAGUGGGGAUAACGUAGCGAAAGUUACGCUAAUACCGCAUAUUCUGUGAGCAGGAAAGCAGGGGAUCGCAAGACCUUGCGCUGAUUGAGCGGCCGAUAUCAGAUUAGCUAGUUGGUGAGGUAAAGGCUCACCAAGGCGACGAUCUGUAGCGGGUCUGAGAGGAUGAUCCGCCACACUGGAACCGAGACACGGUCCAGACUCCUACGGGAGGCAGCAGUGGGGAAUUUUGGACAAUGGGCGCAAGCCUGAUCCAGCCAUGCCGCGUGAGUGAAGAAGGCCUUCGGGUUGUAAAGCUCUUUCGGCCGGGAAGAAAUCGCACAGGUUAAUACCCUGUGUGGAUGACGGUACCGGAAUAAGAAGCACCGGCUAACUACGUG
rnacentral:rRNA from 1 species